rnacentral:rRNA from 1 species
AAAAUUUUGGUGGGCUUUCAAACAGGGGAAAGGAAACCAUCAUGGGUGUCAUGGAAAGUGAUGACAAGACCUAAGUAUCUAGGAGGUCUAGGCUUCAGGGAUCUGGAACUUUUAAAUUUGGCUUUGCUAGCAAAACAGUCUUGGAUAAUUUUGCAGGACCUGACAUCUUUCAGCACAAGGAUCCUUAAGGCUUCCUACUUCCCUGAUGGUACAAUCAUUAACGUCGAACUGGGUUGUCAGCCAUAUAAAAUCUGGUGUGGUGUCUUAGAAGCUAGAGACAUAGUGAAGCAGGGUAUUAUUUGCCGAAUUAGGAAUUGCCAAUCUACUAAUAUCUGGGCUGAUAAUUGGAUUCCAAAAGAAUCUUCUUUACGACCAAUAGUAUCUCUUGUGGUGGACCCGCUUGUGAAGGUAUCUACGUUAUUAUCACCUACCACAGCCUCGUGGAAUGAAAAAUUGGUCUGGAGUAUCUUCCUACCCAUUGAUGCUGAUGAAACACAACCAAUUUUUGGGCAUGGCAUCCAGACAAGAAAGGUCGAUUCACUGUUAGCUCGACACAGACGUAUAUGA